rnacentral:rRNA from 1 species
CGGACGGGUGAGUAAUGUCUGGGAAACUGCCUGAUGGAGGGGGAUAACUACUGGAAACGGUAGCUAAUACCGCAUAACGUCGCAAGACCAAAGAGGGGGACCUUCGGGCCUCUUGCCAUCAGAUGUGCCCAGAUGGGAUUAGCUUGUUGGUGGGGUAACGGCUCACCAAGGCGACGAUCCCUAGCUGGUCUGAGAGGACGACCAGCCACACUGGAACUGAGACACGGUCCAG